rnacentral:rRNA from 1 species
CAGAGGGGGCAAGCGUUGCUCGGAAUUACUGGGCGUAAAGGGCGCGUAGGCGGGAUGGCAAGUCGGUCGUGAAAUCCCUGGGCUCAACUCAGGGGGGUCGGCCGAUACUGCCGUUCUUGAGGGAUGCAGAGGAGACUGGAAUUCCCGGUGUAGCGGUGAAAUGUGUAGAGAUCGGGAGGAACACCGGUGGCGAAGGCGGGUCUCUGGGCAUUCCCUGACGCUGAGGCGCGAAAGCGUGGGGAGCAAACGGGAUUAGAUACCCCGGUAGUCCACGCGGUAAACGAUGACGACUAGGUGUGGGGGGGUUAAGUCCCUUCCGUGCCGCAGCUAACGCAUUAAGUCGUCCGCCUGGGGAGUACGGCCGCAAGGUUG